UACAGAGGGGGCAAGCGUUGUCCGGACUUACUGGGUGUAAAGCGCAUGCAGGUGGCCUGGCAAGUGUGCUGUGAAAUCUCCGAGCUUAACUCGGAACGGUCAGCUGAUACUGUUUUGCUAGAGUGCAGAAAGGGCAACCGGAAUUCUUGGUGUAGCGGUGAAAUGCGUAGAUAUCAAGAGGAACACCUGAGGCGAAGGCGGGUUGCUAGGCUGACACUGACGCUGGAGCGCGAAAGCUAGGGUAGCAAACGGG
rnacentral:rRNA from 1 species